CCCUGAUCAACACAUCCAGAUUAUUGGCCCAAGAGAAUGAUGUAAGGCAUGGUGUAAGGGGCCAAUCAUAGGGCCCAUACCUGAUAAAAUUGGUGACCUGGGACCCCACAUUUAUAAUGUGAUUUAUUUUUAAAAUAUGUAUGAAAACGGAGGGCUAAUGGCCUCUGUGUCUUUGAGCCAAUCUGUUCUCUCUGUUGGAUGUAUUGGAGAGAUAAUUUGAUAUUGCAGAUUUCCAUCAAGAAGAGGCAGGUAUUAAACUUUAAGGUAUAAAUUUAGAAACUAGUUAUACGGUACGAGAGCAGGUAAGAG